rnacentral:rRNA from 1 species
CGCGAAAGCGUUGCUAAUACCGCAUACGACCUACGGGUGAAAGCAGGGACCGCAAGGCCUUGCGUCGAUGGAGCGGCCGAUGUCGGAUUAGCUAGUUGGUGAGGUAAAGGCUCACCAAGGCGACGAUCCGUAGCUGGUCUGAGAGGACGACCAGCCCACACUGGGACUGAGACACGGCCCAGACUCCUACGGGAGGCAGCAGUGGGGAAUCUUGGACAAUGGGCGCAAGCCUGAUCCGAGCAAUGCCGCGUGUGGGAAGAAGGCCUUCGGGUUGUAAACCACUUUUGGCAGGAAAGAAAUCGUCCGUGCUAAUACCAUGGAUGGAUGACGGUACCUGCAGAAUAAGCACCGGCUAACUACGUG